UACGUAGGGGGCAAGCGUUUAAUCGGAAUUACUGGGCGUAAGCGUGCGCAGGCGGUUUUGUAAGUCUGUCGUGAAAUCCCCGGGCUCAACCUGGGAAUUGCGAUGGAGACUGCAAGGCUAGAAUCUGGCAGAGGGGGGUAGAAUUCCGACGUGUAGCAGUGAAAUGCGUAGAGAUGUGGAGGAACACCGAUGGCGAAGGCAGCCCCCUGGGUCAAGAUUGACGCUCAUGCACCGAAAGGCGUGGGGAGCAAACAGGAUAGAGUAC
rnacentral:rRNA from 1 species